rnacentral:rRNA from 1 species
CAGUCGCCGCGGGAAUACAGAGGGUGCGAGCGUUAAUCGGAUUUACUGGGCGUAAAGCGUGCGUAGGCGGCUAUGCAAGACAGAUGUGAAAUCCCCAGGCUCAACCUGGGAACUGCAUUUGUGACUGCAUGGCUAGAGUACGGUAGAGGGGGAUGGAAUUCCGCGUGUAGCAGUGAAAUGCGUAGAUAUGCGGAGGAACACCGAUGGCGAAGGCAAUCCCCUGGACCUGUACUGACGCUCAUGCACGAAAGCGUGGGGAGCAAACAGGAUUAGAUACCCGCGUAGUCCCUGUCUCUUAUAA